CCGUGCUAGGCGGGGAGCUAGCGGUUCCCUGUACCCGAAAUCCGCUCUACGCGGGGCUGAACCCCUGCCCGAGGCCCUCUCCUGUGAGGCAGGCCCUCCAUGGGUGGCGAGGAAGGCUGGGCCCUGCGCGAUGGAGGCCGACAAACCCCGCCAGGCCCGGGAGGGAGCAACGGUAAGUCGGUACCUCCACUGCCGUGGGGGAACCUGGUCAGAGCCAGCCAGGUGGGUACCGCUCGUAGGAGUUGGUCGACGGCAGGUGCACGG
rnacentral:SRP_RNA from 1 species